CCUACGGGAGGCAGCAGUGAGGAAUAUUGGUCAAUGGACGAGAGUCUGAACCAGCCAAGUAGCGUGAAGGAUGACUGCCCUAUGGGUUGUAACCUUCUUUUAUAAAGGAAUAAAACGAGGCACGUCUUCCUUUUUGCAUGUACUUUAUGAAUAAGGAUCGGCUAACUCCGUUCCAGCAGCCGCGGUAAUACGGAGGAUCCGAGCGUUAUCCGGAUUUAUUGGGUUUAAAGGGAGCGUAGAUGGGUUGUUAAGUCAGUUGUGAAAGUUUGCGGCUCAACCGUAAAAUUGCAAUUGAUACUGGCAGUCUUGAGUACAGUUGAGGUAGGCGGAAUUCGUGGUGUAGCGGUGAAAUGCUUAGAUAUCACGAAGAACCCCGAUUGCGAAGGCAGCUUACUAAACUGUGACUGACAUUGAUGCUCGAAAGUGUGGGUAUCAAACAGGAUUAGAUACCCUAGUAGUC
rnacentral:rRNA from 1 species